UACAUGGGGUGCAAACGUUGCUCGGAAUUAUUGGGCGUAAAGCGCACGUAGGUGGUCCCUUAAGUCGAAUGUGAAAUCCCUCGGCUCAACCGAGGACGUGCAUCCGAAACUGAGGGGCUAGAGUAUGGUAGAGGGUCGCGGAAUUCCCGGUGUAGAGGUGAAAUUCGUAGAUAUCUGGAGGAACACCGGUGGCGAAGGCGGCAUCCUGGACCGGCAUUGACGCUGAGGCGCGAAAGCCAGGGGAGCAAACGGG
rnacentral:rRNA from 1 species